rnacentral:rRNA from 1 species
UACGAGAGGCCCAAACGUUAUUCGGAUUUACUGGGCUUAAAGAGUUCGUAGGCGGCUUGGAAAGUGGGGUGUGAAAGCCCCCGGCUCAACCGGGGAAUUGCAUCGGAUACAGCCUGGCUUGAGGACGGUUGGGGUGAGUGGAACCCCUGGUGGAGCGGUGAAAUGCGUAGAUAUCAGGAGGAACACCGGUGGCGAAAGCGGCUCACUGGACCGUUGCUGACGCUGAGGUGCGAAAGCUAGGGGAGCAAACGGG